AUGGGCCCGGUGUGCGGCCAGGUGGCAGCUCUGGGCACUCUGCACCUGCAGAACGGGCUGGACCAGGCGGCCUGCCACUCCAGCCGCUGGCAGGGCUGCCGAGAGCUAGAGCUCCAGGAGCUGUGCGCGGACGCCACUGAGAGCGAGGAGCUGGACGAGCUGUGGGCCAGCCUGCUCGUCUUCAUCACCCUCUUCCUGCUCAGCGUGAGCUACGGCGCCACCAGCACCCUCUUCAAGGUGAAGUGGGUACUCGCCACCGUCCUGCAGGAGAAGCCACAGGCCGCCCGAGACUACGCCAACAUCGUGCGACCGGCACAGCUGCCUGUGCCCACGAUGCCCACAGAGUCCAAAACCAGCCCCAGUGUGUUCCCGCUGAGCCUCAGCCGCCAGGAGUCAGAAGGGUACGUGGUCAUCGGCUGCCUGGUGCAGGGAUUCUUCCCUCCGGAGCCUGUGAACGUGACCUGGAACGCCGGCAAGGACAGCACAUCUGUCAAGAACUUCCCCCCCGUGAAGGCUGCUACCGGGAGCCUAUACACCAUGAGCAGCCAGUUGACCCUGCCAGCCUCCCAGUGCCCUGCUGACUCAUCUGUGAAAUGCCAAGUGCAGCACGCUUCCAGCCCCAGCACGGCCGUGUCUGUGCCCUGCAAAGGUAACUGUCCUUAUCCGUGUCCCUCGUGCAAUGAGCCCCGCCUGUCACUACAGAAGCCAGCCCUCGAGGAUCUGCUUCUAGGCUCCAAUGCCAGCCUCACAUGCACACUGAGUGGCCUGAAAGACCCCAAGGGUGCCACCUUCACCUGGAACCCCUCCAACGGGAAGAAACCCAUCCAGAAGACUCCUGAGCGUGACUCCUGUGGCUGCUACAGUGUGUCCAGUGUCCUACCAGGCUGUUCUGAUCCAUGGAACCGUGGGGACACCUUCUCCUGCACAGCCACCCACCCUGAAUCCAAGAGCCCGAUCACCGUCAGCAUCACCAAACCCAUAGAGAACAUCUUCCCGCCCCAGGUCCACCUGCUGCCGCCGCCGUCGGAAGAGCUGGCCCUCAAUGAGCUGGUGACACUGACGUGCUUGGUGAGGGGCUUCAACCCAAAAGAUGUGCUCGUACGAUGGCUGCGAGGGACCCAGGAGCUACCCCAAGAGAAGUACUUGACCUGGGAGCCCCUGAAGGAGCCCGACCAGACCAACAUGUUUGCCGUGACCAGCAUGCUGAGGGUGACAGCCGAAGACUGGAAGCAGGGGGAGAAGUUCUCCUGCAUGGUGGGCCACGAGGCCCUGCCCCUGUCCUUCACCCAGAAGACCAUCGACCGCCUGGCGGGUAAACCCACCCACGUCAACGUGUCUGUGGUCAUGGCAGAGGUGGACGGCAUCUGCUACUGA